rnacentral:rRNA from 1 species
CCUACGGGAGGCAGCAGUAGGGAAUAUUGCUCAAUGGGGGAAACCCUGAAGCAGCAACGCCGCGUGGAGGAUGAAGGUUUUCGGAUUGUAAACCCCUUUUGUUAGAGAAGAAAAUGACGGUAUCUAACGAAUAAGCACCGGCUAACUCCGUGCCAGCAGCCGCGGUAAUACGGAGGGUGCAAGCGUUACGCGGAAUCACUGGGCGUAAAGAGGGCGUAGGCGGGUUAGCAAGUCCGAUGUGAAAUCCUAUGGCUUAACCAUAGAACUGCAUUUGAAACUGUUAUUCUAGAGUAUGGGAGAGGUAGGUGGAAUUCUUGGUGUAGGGGUAAAAUCCGUAGAGAUCAAGAGGAAUACUCAUUGCGAAGGCGACCUGCUAGAACAUAACUGACGCUGAGGCGCGAAAGCGUGGGGAGCAAACAGGAUUAGAUACCCGAGUAGUC